GACGUCCGUUUCUUUCCAAGCAACAAGUUGUGAAGAUCUCUCUAUAAGUAUACCAUCGUCUUCUUCGUUUUCUUCCAACCUCAAAUUGAAUCUUUCUUCUUCUUCUGAUCUUCUUGUUCGUUUAGUUUCUUGUAAUAAGCAUCGACGUUUUGUUGAUCUUUAUAUUUCUUCUGGGUCGUCAUUGUCUGCUUCAUACUGAUCAGUUCUUAAGUUCAGAAGAGCUUGAUUUAGUUAUAUUUCAACCAUGAGUUCUGGUAUUCCAACAGCGUAUCCCCAAGCAACGUCAACAAAUGCGCCAAUAGUGACUCCUCCACCAGUUGGUUAUCCCACCAAUAAUGACACUUCACCAAACCCUCAGUCAGCUUCUUUUCAAACCCAGUCCAAGGGUGGUGGCUUUGGGAAAGCAUGUCAGUUCUGUUUAUGCUGCUUCUGUCGUCUCUUCUGUGAUCUUGAUUGUGAAUAAUGAUUUGCCAACGUAAGCUAAGAUGCAUUAUUGCUAUUGUCUUGUGGAGCAGUUCUCUGGUUGCUGUUGAUGUUGUUGUUGAUUUUCCUAAAGUUCCGUGAGGACAACUUUGUUGUUGCUUUCAUGACCCAGUUAUGUACUGUUGUAACUAAAUGGCAUAAUAAGACAUAUUUGGGUUACAUGCCCAUGUCAUGCAAGUGUGUAGGAACUGCUGGUCUUAGGGACAAAUGAGUUGGGCCUGUUACAUAUUUUUGUAUAAUAUGUUUAGGCCUUUUGUAUCUGGGCUUAUUGUAUAUUGUUGUUUUCUGGUUAUUUCUGUUGCAUUACGGAUCAUAUAAGAGCCCAUUUUGUUGUAUCUGGCCAACAUACGAGGCUAGCACCUUCAAUGUACUAUCUUAGCUAAGUGUGUCAUGGCUUACUAAGGGUUAAUAAAACUGUCAUUAGCAACUAA